rnacentral:rRNA from 1 species
GACGAAGGGGGCUAGCGUUGCUCGGAAUCACUGGGCGUAAAGCGCACGUAGGCGGCUUCUUAAGUCAGGGGUGAAAUCCUGGAGCUCAACUCCAGAACUGCCUUUGAUACUGAGGAGCUCGAGUCCGGGAGAGGUGAGUGGAACUCCGAGUGUAGAGGUGAAAUUCGUAGAUAUUCGGAAGAACACCAGUGGCGAAGGCGGCUCACUGGCCCGGUACUGACGCUGAGGUGCGAAAGCGUGGGGAGCAAACAGG